UACAGAGGUCCCGAGCGUUGUUCGGAUUCAUUGGGCGUAAAGGGUGCGUAGGCGGUGGGGUAAGUUGGAUGUGAAAUCUUGGGGCUUAACCUCAAAAUUGCAUUCAAUACUGCUCCGCUCGAGUUCUGUAGAGGAGAUUGGAAUUUACGGUGUAGCAGUGAAAUGCGUAGAUAUCGUAAGGAACGCCAGUGGCGAAAGCGAAUCUCUGGGCAGCAACUGACGCUGAGGCACGAAGGCCAGGGGAGCAAAC
rnacentral:rRNA from 1 species